UACGGAGGGUGCAAGCGUUAUCCGGAUUUAUUGGGUUUAAAGGGUCCGUAGGCGGACUUGUAAGUCAGUGGUGAAAUCUCAUAGCUUAACUAUGAAACUGCCAUUGAUACUGCAGGUCUUGAGUAAAUUUGAAGUGGCUGGAAUAAGUAGUGUAGCGGUGAAAUGCAUAGAUAUUACUUAGAACACCAAUUGCGAAGGCAGGUCACUAAGAUUUAACUGACGCUGAUGGACGAAAGCGUGGGUAGCGAACAGG
rnacentral:rRNA from 2 species